rnacentral:lncRNA from 1 species
GGGGGGUGUACUUUGCUAACAAACCUUCCCCUUGGGAAACGAUUUAAAUGGGAAAGUGUUGGGGUAAAUAGUGUUGUGGUGAGAGUUACUGACUAUACCGGCUGGGGGUCACGAAGUGCAAGCGGCUCGGGCUGGCUGAUCUAUUGGUUCUCUCUGUAUUUAAAACAAAGGAUAUUUGUGGUGGCUGGAUGGGCUGGGCGGCUCGGAUGGCUCAGGCCGGUGUUACGUUUUGGACCCUACCAUUAUUUGUCAGUGUCAUGUGGAUGCAUUUGGAAAUGCGUGCACAUGGAGGUGUGUACGGGGGAUGGACAUGUGUCUUGGCGGAUGGAUGUUUGUCUGCUUGUCCGCACGCAUGGACAUGGGCUCAGUAGGACCGAGGUGCCCCACCCACACCAAUGCCUGUCAGUGCAUUUCCAGAACAAGGGUCUCCUUUAUGUGGCUCCGGGGAGAGAGCUGGUCCUGCAGACCCAGUUCCAGAUUACACCAACAGAGAAGAUCAUCAUGGUGAUUUGGGACCGCCAGACUGAGAAGGGUCAGGGACAGGUCAGGCUGGCCAAUCACCAAGAUGCACCUGGCAAUCCUCUAGACCAGAAGGAGGCCUCAUUUAGGGUGGAGAAUAUAAGUUCAUCUGACUAUGGAAUGUACACCAUCACUGUGACUGACCAGAUGGGGAACGAGCAAUCAGCAAAUAUACUUGUUAGAGAGAUUGUUGCUGCUCCUGUAGCGUCUUUGUCGCUCCAGUGUGAGGUGGCCAAUGACAGGGCACAGUGGGACAGCCCAGUGUUUUCCUGGUUGGUGGAUGGGGUAGAGCUGUCCAAUCAGACAGACAAUCUCUCUGCAGAUGGCAGGAGACUCUACGUGUCCGGAAUGAAGGGCCACAACUACACCUGUGUUGUCAACAGCAGUCUGGGGACAAGUGUCACAUACUACGUCACUGAUUCUCCUACACCAUCCCAAAGUAUCCAAUCCUGUAACACUCUGUGUGGUGUAUUACUGGGCUUCAUCAUAGCGAUUCUAAUCACAUGUGGAUAUCUCUACUGGAAAUGCAGACAGCGGAGGACAUGACCUUAGGAGGGCCAUCGCGUUCCGUUAUCAGUCUUAUUUAUGGCACUUAUUUAUGGCACUUAUUAAUGGCACGCUCACACAAGUCUUUAAUAUUCUAUUGCAAUAAGUCACACUACCAGACCAAAUAUGAUUCCUAUCAAGAGCUGUGGCCCUAUUCACCAUCACUAAAAUAUAUUUAUAUGCCUAUUUAUCAAAUUAAAAUUGUAUUGGUCACAUACAUAUAUUUAGCAGAUGUUAUUGCGGGUAUAGUGAAAUGCUUGUUAUUGGUGUAUUACAUUUUACAUUUACGUCAUUUAGCAGACGCUCUUAUCCAGUGCGACUUACAAAUUGUAUUUCUAUGCCUAUUUGUGGUAUUUAUUGAUGCAGUGUCCACACGUAUAUUUUGACUAAUUAUAUCUUUGUAUCUUUUUUUUUGAAAGUACUCUAUGCCAUCACAUUUACAUUGUGCACAUGUACAAAUGAACCUAAACUUAAACCUACUUUUGUGAUGAUAUAAAGCAAAUGGGAAAAAAUUCACAUUAUUGUGACGGAGCAUGUGUGGAUUUAACCUAUUUCAUAACCUGAUAGGAAAUCUUUGAAAGCGUCCACUUUGCUACACUUCCAUAGGAGACAGUGAAGAGACAUAGAAACACAGCAGUCUGGAUGAGUGAGGAAAAGCACAGCACCACCUAUUUAAUAGCGCCAUCCACUGGCUUGUUUUAGAAAUUCCUCUAUUCAAAAUAUCACUUCAAUUUGUAACUUUGGUUUUAGAAGUGGGGGGGGGGAUAAAAAAUCCAAACAUCCUACCUGACCGCUCGGAGUCGUCUGCAUGGUCCUAAAGAACACCGUUGCCUCGUUUUGUAUGACAUUCUAAUGAUAAAACUGGGGGGGGACAAAAAAAUGGAUGUCAUUGUCAUUCACAGAGAACUUGAAUUGGAAAUACUGUACCGUAUUGUUAUUUGUUUUUGCAAAUGUAGAUAAGAUGAUUUAAUUAAAGUCGCACUCCAGUCUCCUUUUCACCUGAUUUACUUAACAAAAGGCACUUGGUGGUCCAGGUAUGUUCAUGACAUAGCACAAGUGGAGGGUGGGCCUUUCUGCAUUUGUUCUCUAUUGCUUCUCUAUUGUUUCUGCAAGCAAUAGCAGAGACCGAUGACAUUAGAGGGCUAUCAGCCCAACUCCUUGAAUGGCCUACUCCAAGCACGAACCACCACAUUUAACCUUGGCAAGGUGACGGGGAAUAUGGUAGAAUACAAAUAGAGUAGUAGUUCCCUCUGCAAGGCAAUCAAACAGGCAAAACGUCAAUAUCGAGACAAAGUUGACUCGCAAUUCAACAGCUCAGACAUGACACAUAUGUGGCAGGGUUUACAGACAAUCACUGACUACAAAAGGAAAACCAGCCAAGUCGCUGAGACCGCCGUCUUGCUGCCAGACAAGCUAAACACAUUCUUUGCCCGCUUUGAGGACAACACAGUGCCACCGACGCGGCCAGGUACCAAGGACCGUCGGAUCGCCAUGGACGACGUGAGUAAGACAUUUAAACGUGUUAAUCCUCGCAAGGCUGCCAGCCCAGACGGCAUCCCUAGCUGCGUCCUCAGAGCAUGCGC